CAGAAACUCGGCAUCAUUCGGCAGCUCUCGUCGAACACACAUGCGCAGUUGCCCACUGACGACGUGCUUUGAAUGAAGCGCUAAACCGUCAACAACAAGGCGGUUGCUGCAGGUAGUGUCACGGUUUCUGAAGACAGACACCCAGCUAUGCAUUGGAAGUAAUCACAACCAACAAUGGAGAUGAGGACUACACUAAGGAUAAUUGUCCAUGACAAUGACAUCAGGAAAAUUACACUCUCUGGGAAACCACACACACUUGACUCACUUGUUGAACAGCUUGAGGAGAAGCUGGGGCUUCAGUAUAAAUUCUCCCUCCAGUAUGAAGAUCCUGAUUUCAAUAAUG